GUUUGGGGGUACAUCUGGAGAUACUACACUGGGAGUCGAGGUGGGAGGACAUUUUGCAAGCUGUCCCAGCCCCUCCUCGGGGGACCCUGAGGAAGGGAAGGGAGGAGGAGCAAUGUGACAGCUGUUGGCCAACCACACCCUCCUCUCCUGCACAGGAAAAAGGAGUGCUUGCAACAAGCAUGGCGGACUGAGAUACACUGAGGAAGAGCAGCAGAGGAGGGCAGGAUGCCGCCCGAAGAGUUUGGAGAAGCGGAGUGACUGGGAAUCACAGUGAAUUACCGAACUUCCUAACUUGCCUCCCCGUCUCUGGUCACCUUUUGCCAGCCUUGGACCCGGGAGAGGGCUCACCCUUCGCCGGCAGCCGGCAGCGGCGCUUCCCGCGCGGCGCCGCUGACGCACAGUGAAGACUCAGAGCUUUGGCUGGUCCGGAGACUCCAAACCCGGGUGACCUGGGUAUGGCGCGGUGCUCAUGGGCCAGAGCGCACAAGGCUCGGGUUGCAAAUGCUGUAACUAAAAUGUGAUGAGCGCAAACAGUGUGCCAAGCUCACCUAUUCAACAACCAUUAAGAUAUUGAUAUUUCCUUUUCACGGAGGCGACAGCCAAGGCUGGAGAAAAUGGAAUCAUACAGCCCUGAACCCAGAGGACUCCUACGCACCCCCAGUCAGGGCCCACUCCAGAGCAAUGGGAGAGGGAGCGGGCCCUCGGGCGGCUGUUCCUCGGAAGUGUAAGGGCCAGACAAACUCCGAGCAGCGAGCAGCGGUUCUCAGAGCUCCCCAGGAAUCUCUGCCCUUUGUCGCUCCAGUGAGCUAGGACUCCAGGCUCCUCUCACCCUGGCACCUCCUAAAGGAACUUCAGGGCCUCUGCUGGAGCUUGGAGCAGCGUCAGACCGGCGUUAACUCAUUUGUACAACUUGAUUGUUCAGUCUUU
ensembl:lncRNA